rnacentral:rRNA from 1 species
GACGAACGCUGGCGGCGUGCUUAACACAUGCAAGUCGAACGGUGAAGCGCCUUCCUUUUUGGUGGGUGUGGAUGAGUGGCGAACGGGUGAGUAACACGUGAGUAACCUGCCCCCUUCUUCUGGAUAACCGCAUGAAAGUGUGGCUAAUACGGGAUAUUCUGGGUCUGUCGCAUGAUGGGUCUGGGAAAGAUAUUGUUUCGGUGGGGGAUGGGCUCGCGGCCUAUCAGCUUGUUGGUGGGGUGAUGGCCUACCAAGGCGGUGACGGGUAACCGGCCUGAGAGGGUGGACGGUCACACUGGGACUGAGACACGGCCCAGACUCCUACGGGAGGCAGCAGUGGGGAAUAUUGCACAAUGGGCGCAAGCCUGAUGCAGCGACGCCGCGUGAGGGAUGGAGGCCGUCGGGUUGUGAACCUCUUUCGCCAGUGAAGCAGGCCUGCCUCGUUUGUGGGUGGGUUGACGGUAGCUGGAUAAGAAGCGCCGGCUAACUACGUG